rnacentral:rRNA from 1 species
UACGUAGGUGGCAAGCGUUGUCCGGAUUUACUGGGCGUAAAGGGUGCGUAGGUGGUUGGGUAAGUUUGAUGUGAAAUCUCCGGGCUUAACCCGGAAAUGGCAUUGAAUACUAUUCGGCUAGAGGUUUGGAGGGGGGACUGGAAUUCUUGGUGUAGCAGUGAAAUGCGUAGAUAUCAAGAGGAACACCAGUGGCGAAGGCGAGUCCCUGGACAACACCUGACACUGAGGCACGAAAGCUAGGGGAGCAAACAGG